rnacentral:rRNA from 1 species
UACGUAGGGAGCAAGCGUUGUCCGGAAUCAUUGGGCGUAGAGCGCGCGUAGGCGGCCUCGUAAGUCCGUUGUGAAAGUCAAAGGCUCAACCUUUGAAAGCCGAUGGAUACUGUGAGGCUAGAGUCCGGAAGAGGCGAGUGGAAUUCCUGGUGUAGCGGUGGAAUGCGCAGAUAUCAGGAGGAACACCCAUAGCGAAGGCAGCUUGCUGGGACGUUACUGACGCUAAGGCGCGAAAGCGUGGGGAGCGAACAGG